AGAAGGAUCAUUAACACGUAUCCAACGUUAAACAACCUGUGAACCUUCAUACCUGCUCUCCUUGAAGGCAAUGCCUGGUAAAUCACGCAACCAGUUUGAUUCAGGCACCUCCUUCUUGGAUUCGAUGCGGAGCCGCAACUUUUAGACUCGGCGUCUGGUUUACCAGAUAACCGAAAAAAAAUUAAGGAUCGUUGGUCCUCACGCCCCCUAAAAUAUUAACCCCUUUCUUACAAUCGGGGCUGCGGAAACGCGCCUCACAAAAACGAACAACUGUUAACAAUGGAUAUCUUGGUUCUCGCAACGAUGAAGAACGCAGCGAAAUGCGAUACGUAAUGCGAAUUGCAGAAUUCCGUGAAUCAUCGAAUCUUUACCCCUGAGAGCACACCUCUGAGUGUCGGUUUAACCCAAUGUCACCAAUUUAUUGGUGUACGACAGCCUGAGGGUAAGUGGUCUUGUACUUCUUUCCCUUUAAAUCUCAGCCGCACGACUGUGUGUGUUCGUGGCAAGUUGCUUUCACUUAACUGUGAAUCUUCCCACCAUGAACCCUAUGUUAAGCAGCACAAAGAAACAAUUAGGCAACUGGUUAUAAGUCCCUUGAAACGGGGCAUCAUAGAGGGUGAGAAUCCCGUCUUUGAGCCGGAGCUAUGUACGUGCGAGGAGCUUUCCAAGAGUCGCGUUGAUUGGGAGUGCAGCGCUAAAUGGGUGGUAAAGUUCAUCUAAAGCUAAAUACUGGCGAGAGAGAGAGAGACCGAUAGCGAACAAGUACCGUGAGGAAAGAUGAAAAGAACUUUGAAAAGAGAGUUAAAAAGUACUUGAAAUUGUUAACAGGGAAGGGCAGGAGUCAUUCUCUUGCGGGGGGGUUACUUGGAGCAGGAGAGAGUCAGCACCAUUUAGAGUCGUCGGAGAAAGUGUGCAGGUUGGUGCGUUGCUUCGGCUUCGUUUAGCCCGCAAUCCUACGUUGGUUCUGAAUGAGGAGUGAUAACCCGCGCCCGAAAGGGUACGUUACUCUGAGGUCUGUUUGCCCUAGCGCGUGAGAGAACAAAGUUCUGUCUGUGAGGUGAACACUGCUUUGGAUGUGACAGUUGCUGGGUUCGCGAUGCCGACGAAAUGGUUUUCUUCCACCCGUCUUGAAACACGGACCAAGGAGUCUAACAUAUAUGCGAGUAUUUGGGUGACAAACCCUGAUGCGCAAUGAAAGUAAAGAGCCGCAAGGCUUGAGGUAGGAAUCUCGCCCUCGGGUGGGAGGCACUAUCGACCGAUCGUUCGCUUGCGGAAGAUUUGGGCUCGCAUAUCUGUUGGGACCCGAAAGAUGGUGAUCUAUGCCUGAACAGGGUGAAGCCAGGGGAAACUCUGGUGGAAGCUCGUAGCGAUACUGACGUGCAAAUCGUUCGUCUGAUUUGGGUAUAGGGGCGAAAGACUAAUCGAACCAUCUAGUAGCUGGUUCCCU
rnacentral:misc_RNA from 1 species